GAUGAACGCUGGCGGCGUGCUUAACACAUGCAAGUCGAACGGGAAACCUUUUAUUGAAGCUUCGGCAGAUUUAGCUGGUUUCUAGUGGCGGACGGGUGAGUAACGCGUGGGUAACCUGCCUUAUACAGGGGGAUAACAACCAGAAAUGGUUGCUAAUACCGCAUAAGCGCACAGGACCGCAUGGUCCGGUGUGAAAAACUCCGGUGGUAUAAGAUGGACCCGCGUUGGAUUAGCUAGUUGGCAGGGUAACGGCCUACCAAGGCGACGAUCCAUAGCCGGCCUGAGAGGGUGAACGGCCACAUUGGGACUGAGACACGGCCCAGACUCCUACGGGAGGCAGCAGUGGGGAAUAUUGCACAAUGGGGGAAACCCUGAUGCAGCGACGCCGCGUGAAGGAAGAAGUAUCUCGGUAUGUAAACUUCUAUCAGCAGGGAAGAUAGUGACGGUACCUGACUAAGAAGCCCCGGCUA
rnacentral:rRNA from 1 species